AAAGGAGACGUGGGUCGGACAAGAUGGCGACGAGGAUGGAUGCUUUCUUUUGAGCUCGUGUAUUAUUGAAGAGUACCGGACCUUUAAGACUCUUGAAACGGACUCAGACGAUGUUUGUUUUUUUCUUCAGAAAGUGACACAAGAUACUUGAUUGGGUACAGUUUGUGGGGCUUUUUUCCCCAGGCAAUACUCAGAGGAAAGCUUUGUUUCUCACUUUGUCUUCGAGGCAGUUAGCUGUUAGCUAAACUAUGAAUAAAAGUUGAUCGGGACGCAGAAACGAGACCAAUGUAUUAAAAUGAAGAAAAUAAAAAAGGUCAGACUGGUUAUGGAUAUGGAGGCGGUUGUUUCUUUCCCAAGUUUAUGCACACAUCUUCCUCUACUUUUUUAAAUAUAUUUUUGGGUACUCACUCUCAGAAGAACUCUAAAUGCUACGGAGCCCCCCUGGUGCCAAGUGGCCACCAAAGGGGUCCUAGUUGAGUUGAGUUCCCGCCGCAGAAGUGGAAGUUCGCAGACAGACAAAUGCGUCUGUGAUGGAUCAAGCAAUGAUGGAUUCAAAUUUUGGAAAAUUCCUUCAAGAGCAAAGAAGAUUGAUUGCUACGCUGUCCAUGCAAUGACAGAUCAGCAGCUGACAGAAUAUGUUCCCAAAAUUGCAAUACGUCAGUACUGCAGAAGAGAAGUGGCUGUGUUUGAAGGAACCAACACAUAUCCAAAGAAAAUGAAUCUUUGAUUUCAAAAAUUAAACAAAAGCGGGGAGCCAACAAUGGCAUUACAGAUGAGCGUGUGAAAAAACUUUCUCACAAUUCUAAUGCCUCAAAAGAGCAACGCAAUUAUCAAAUUGGCCUAUUUGAAGAGAAUCAGGGCAGAUUUGUGCAGGUGAGACAGAGAAGAGUGCGAGGCACAAGACAUUUAAAGGCCCCAAAGAAUACAACAAUUUUUUUUUUUUUUUGUUAUGAUCAAAUGAUUUGUGGUUUUAUUCUCUCUUAAUAGUAUAGUGAGUCUCUGUGUGUCCUGUAUUAUAUUGUCUUAUAUUGGGUGAAUUCCACAUAUGCUCCCAUUAUAUUGUAUUUUACUGCUUUUUUACAUCAUGGCCAGGGGACUACAGAUGAAAACUAGCCUUCUGGCUUUUUUAAUCCAUGUGUAUUUCAUGUGUUUUAUGAAAUUGCAUUGUCCCCUUUCAAAUAAACUGAUUAAAAAAAAAAGAAUUAAUAGAAAUAGGCAAAACACUAUUUUUUCCGAAUGGAAAAUCAAAACUAGGCAGGGAAAGUGAUUUCGAAUUUACAAUGCGAGACUUCACCGAAGAAAUGCUUGAGCCACAAACAACUUUAGGUGAGCAGUAUGAAAAGCGAAAGGUGAAACCAUUACGAUUUUAUUUGUCAUGCAAAAGGGUCUCUACUCAUGAUGUCCAUGGAAAUGUUCUUCAUGAACCACAUGACACCUGUUCUGAGAGUUUAAGAUAAUAAAUAAAUAAAGGUGACUGCGUUGGUGGGAACAGCCAAUGUGCUUACCUAGGACAGCGAAAUUGUGGGAGCGGUAGGUGGACUCUUAACUGAGAACAAAAUUGGUGAUGAAGAAGUUAUCAUUGUUGACACGGAUGCUGUCUUCAGACAUACCUUUGCUGAUUAUCCACUUAUGAUGUUGAUGACCCCCUCGACGACACCGUCCCCAUGGAGCUCUUAGAAGUGGAAAAUUCACCUCCAACCCAAGAAUCUCAUCCACUUAAAGUAACAAAGCUUAAGCUGCACAAGGGAAAUGUUUUCACUGAGUUGAAUAUGGCCUUUCAAAAUGGCAGUGUAUCUGUUGAUGAGCUGCUGGUGGAGAUCGAAAUGGUCUAACCCAAUGGUUCAAUGGAAAAAGGAGAAGACAAUGGUGGUUUGUUGCGCGAUGCAUUAAGUGAGUACUGGGAGACAUUCUUCACUAAAUGCACCCAUGGAGGCACAAUGAAGAUACCGAUGACAUGACAUGAAAGACGAAUGGGUUAACAUAGUUAAAUUCAUGGUCCUGGGAUACAACACGGUUCAGUAUUUUCCUAUAGCAUUGGCCAAGCCCUUUAUUUUGUAUUGUCUCGGCCUUGAACUGAUGGAGAAGGACCUGCUUUUGGCAUUUUUAGACACAAUUCCCUCUGAAGAAAAGGAAGUGGCUGAACAAGCUAUGAAUGAUUUUCUGUCCGUCGCUGGAUCUGAGGAGUGAAUAGAUUUCCUUGACACACAUGAGGUUAAAGUUUUUGUCAAUAAGGGGAAUGUGAAGAAAACUUUGAUUGAGGUGGCACAUGAAGAACUUGUUCAAGACCCUGCAUAUAUUGCAGUGUUGGUCCAGUGUACUGAAGGCUGAAAUUACCACUAGGAGGACUGGAUGAAGUAUAUGCUGGCCUUACCCCAACACCAAGAAGAGUAAUCAACAUGUUACAGCAUGAAAGCUUCAACAUGAAGGAAAUGCAGAGUUUUGAAUAUCUGAAAAAAUUCAUCAGGAGUUGCAAUGAACGUCAGCUGAGGAAACGUCUUCGCUUUUGUACAGGUGCAGAUCUUUUAGUUGCUCAGAAGAUCCAUGUGCGAUUCUUCGAGCCAGAGAACCCAUUUACAAGGAGACCAAUGUCACAUACGUGUGGCUGUGUUCUGGAGUUGCCCAACAACUAUGGGUCCUACCCUGAGUUGGCAGAGGAGUUUGAUAGUAUACUUAAUGCAAACAUGUGGGUGAUGGACAUAAUUUAGUUUUCAUUGUAACACAACAUCUUUGUUCCCCUAUCUAUCUGAAGGAUAGCAAGUUAAGCCAGCUGUUCUUUUAGCUGUAUUUUAAUUUAAAUAGUUAAAAACCUUUGAUAAACCCAGAUACUGUUGCAUUUGAUGGACAGUUUGGUAGCUGCCUUGUCCAGAAUGUGUUUUUGGGUCUUUUAUAAUGUACUGUGGUAUGAUCAGAUGAUUAUUUUUGGCUGAUUAUGCACUUUUAUGUGGUGCAUUUUUAUAUACACUUGUGCUGAAAGUUGGGUCAAACACCUCUAUUCAUACCAGCCAGAGUGUCUACUUGUUUACACUGAGUUGACAUUGUUUACAUUACAUUUGCACAUUGUUUUUGACAAAAGAAGCACUUUUGGUGUGGUUACACACAACUUGAACUGGUAUUGUCAUGCAAGUUUUAAGUACUUUUUUUUCUUCUCCUUUUAUAAAACCAUUCUACUGCUCUUACUGCAGGUUUUUAUGCAAUGUACUAUGCAUAUUUUCAUAAAGCAGGUUUCAGGGUAAUACUGUUUGUUGCAC